UACGAAGGGGACUAGCGUUGUUCGGAAUUACUGGGCGUAAAGCGCACGUAGGCGGAUUUGUUAGUCAGGGGUGAAAUCCCGGGGCUCAACCUCGGAACUGCCUUUGAUACUGCAAAUCUCGAGUCCGAUAGAGGUGGGUGGAAUUCCGGGUGGAGUGGUGAAAUGCGUAGAGAUCCGGAGGAACACCAGAGGCGAAGGCGGCCUACUGGCUCGCACCUGACGCUGAGCCGCGAAAGCCAGGGGAGCGAACGGG
rnacentral:rRNA from 1 species